CUGUGACCCUUGGGUUUCUGGAACAGCAACCUUUCCAGGCAUUGCAGAGUUCGAGGCAGUUAUUUGUCUCCUCGCUUCUUAUGCACUUCAAUUUCUAAGCGAUACCUAUUAUGUCACCUCCAAUGUAUGAUUAUGCCUGGAGUCCUAUAUGAAAAUGGACAAAUGGGUAUAACGAUGCAUCCGGUAAGUCGUCUUACAGUGGCUUUCAAGAAAUCUGAUUUGAAGGUGUUCUAGAAGAUCUUAUGAUGGUCCAGAAGUUUUUCUCGCAACAGGGAUGUGAUUUGCAAGAGCAGUUUUUCUCAAGAAAUAUCUGAUGAUGUGAUUUUCUCAAGAACAAUUUUUUCUCUCAGCAACAAAUAUCCAUGUUCCUUCCACAGCAUGAGCGCAACCAUUGAUUAAUUGUUCUCAUCUGCUAUAUCAGGAAGCAUCUCUGGCCUUACUGCUUCCACACUCCUUUUGUAGCCUGUAGUCCUGAAUUUCUGUGUCAGCAUGCCGCCUGAUCAAGUGAGUCCAUAGUGCAGGGGUGUUUCUAGUAUUUGGCUGCACAAGAUUCAGGUGAAAAUAUGGAGGUUAUUUACAGAGUUGUUUCUCCUCAUGCAUGAUGCGAUCAAAACUGAUGGUGAUACCAUUAUAACAGUCACCAUCUCCAAGAUAUGCAAAGCAAAGGGAAGGUACUCAGCACCCACAUUUACCUCUGUUGUAUGAAACAUGUCUGAAAAGCGAAUCCCAAUGUUCUUUCUAGACUUCCUAAGUUUGAGUUUCUUGGUUUGGCUGGGGACAUCUGCACACCCGGUGUUUUUUUUUGUUCAUUUUUACAAAGCAAAUGUUUCCUUUUUUGCCGCAUUGUUCUUGUUUUCUCUAUUCUGGUAAGGACAGACUAAUACUACAUCUGAAUCGUACUGAGUCAACUGUGGCAGCCCUCUUCAUUUGCUCUGCUUUGUUGCAAGUGCUCUAUGGUCUUGUAAUUUCUUCCAUCUUCACCUUGGAGCUUUGGUGAGUCAAAGCCUGCUGGCCAGGAUGGCAGGAUGAUUGCUGGGGAUAAAUGGCAGUCGAAAGUCCAGUUCUUUCUGCAAUGUGUACUUAAUUGUUUGGGUAUAGCACCAUACCUUUUAUUUUUUUGUGUG